rnacentral:tRNA from 1 species
GUCUGUUUACAGCUCAGCCGGUAGAGCAUAAGACUCUUAAUCUCAGAGUUAUGGGUUCAAGCCCUAUGUUGGGUU